rnacentral:tRNA from 1 species
GUUGUAGCUCAGUGGUAGAGUGCUUGCCUAGCAAGUGCGAGGCACUGGGUUCUAUCCUCAGCACGACA